GAUGUAUAUUCGAAAUCUUGUGAUGUAUGUUCGAUAAUCUUGUGAUGUAUAUUCGAAAUCUUGUGAUGUAUGUUCGAUAAUCUUGUGAUGUAUAUUCGAAAUCUUGUGAUGUGUGUUCUACAAUUCAGUGAUGCGUGCAAUAAAAUUGCAUGACGCAACAGAAAAGUAAGGACAAUUUUCAUUGGUUAGAAAUAACGAAAGUAGCCGGAGCGGUCGUAAUGCACACAUUGACACAACUUCGCAAGCAUGAAAUUGGCGAAUUCAACCUAAAGUCAAAAUUAUAGGAACUUUACGUAGGUCUACAGUUUUAAUUUUGGACUCAUGCACUAGGAAUAUCAUAUCAGCAGAAUUGUGCCACUGAAUCAAAGGGAACUCUUUUUUUUUUAGGUACGCAUGAUCGAUGUAACUUCCUCGAUGGUGUGUUGGCUGUUUGCCCAUGUGUAUUUCGGGGUAUAGGUAUUAGCCUCCCCUUUUAAAGAUCCAAAAUGGUGAUUUUACAGUGCGGCAUGCAGUCUGGUCAUCAACGAAGAGUUUUGACACCUGUAAUACCCAUAUUUCUACCAUUCACCUCUGUAACCUUUGUUGAGUUCAUCAGACUGUCCAAGACAGGAAGUUGAGGAAUAAAGUUGACAGGACAUCCUGAACUGUCCUCGCUACCAGCUUAUGAGGGAACCAGCUGCAGUGGACAAAGUACGUUACAUCAUAGGAUAAUAGCAUUGAAUUGGAUUCUUGAACCAGAGCCAUGUGAACCUGGUCCACCUGUACCUCUCAUUGAAGACCUGUUAACAUCACCAGAGUAUGUUCAUUCUGAUACCCCUAUGGUAUGGUUACAGCAUGCAUUAUCCCUGAAUCCAUUAAAAGAGCUGCAUUGGCAACGAAACAACCCAAUGUGGUCGAUUGUAAGGAAAUAAAGCAUAUCAGCUUCCAACUUUGGUGCAGUUCUCAGUUCUAAGCAAAGGCGAUUGACAUUGUCACUGAAGAAACAGCUGAUGUCGGCUUACAAUCUGGAGUCCAUCAAGGCUGUUGCAUGGGGUAUCACUCAUGAAGAUGAUGCUUUGAGAAAGUAUGAAAAGGACUUUGAUGCAGCUGUAGAGCAGUCAGGAUAUGGUUGCAUGAAUCCGGAGUGUUGGGAGCUUCACCUGAUGGCUUAGUUGUUCGACCACCAACAUGCAGUGUAUUUUAUCAAACUCCAGAAGCCAAAGACGCCAUUCCUGAUAUUGUAGAGGUGAAGUGUCCAUAUACAGCAUCGUCUUCAACAUAGCAGAUG